UCUCUCACUCAUUGAACACAUCCGUAUGUCAUCCGUAUUUUGCGGAUCCAUACUGUAGAAAUGCUCUGCCGAGCCCAUACUGCUCAUGUGUUUGAUGAUCAAUAAGUUACUGUUUUUGUUUCCAAUCCGCAAAAAACGGAUCGCAUACGGAAACCAUACGGAUAUGUUUUGUGGAAUAACGGAACGGAAGAGG